rnacentral:lncRNA from 1 species
CCCACUCAUUCUGCUAAAUGGAUGUCCUAGAAUAGAGAAGUGGAAUCAAAUGAUCCAUCUUCAUUUUCCCAUAGGACACAUGGAAAGAAUGCUUCCUUGUCCUUGUAGCUCGGGGAAGAGAAGGCAUCCAUGCCGGACAUCGUUCUUUCUCGGCCCAUCAAGAACUCGGCAUCGAAGACUCAUUACUCUAGGGUACUUGAUGGAUUUUCUUUCCAGCCUAUGGUGAAGACUGAUUCCUUUGUUCGUUAUAUUACAUUGGUUUUCGCCCUAACCUACUUUGAUUUUCCAGACGAAGCUUUUUUAUUUUUCUAUUUCGCCUUUGCUUAUCUAACGGGAGCAAAAGGACUCCUAUCUUAACUCACCGUAGUUGAAGAAGGAAUGCUUGGUAAUGUUAAUGGAAGGCCCCAAACAUAUGUCAAAAGAGAAUCUCGAUAGAAUCAAUAAGAAAGCUCAUUGGAAUGAAACAUGGCAUCCAUCUUCAUCAACUUACAGUAAGCGCAGUGGAGAGAGUGGCUCUCGGGGAGCGGGCACUCAUGGAACGUAGCGAUCUCAAGAUACCUGACUUGCUAUCUCUUCAAGUCAAUCACGAUGAUGAGGACUUAAUCAUCUCUAUGUAUGGAUCAUCGUGUAAUCCAUGCCCCCUUGAGUUGUUAAAGUAAUUACAGAUGCAUGAGAUAACUACCUUGGUUGAUUGCUCAGAAUAAAGAACCAAUCUAUCUCUCCUAGGGGUAAUUAGAAAAAGGAAGCAUUGAUGAGUUCACUGCGUGUUGGUAGCGAGGAUAGAGAGAACAAGAAUGAACAGCCUUCCAUGAAUAGAACACAGGCAAACCUUUGUGGAUCUUCUUACAACUAGCGAAGAGGAAAAGGAAUGCUUGUUGAUUGGACUGAUGCGAGAUAGCUAGAUAGAGAAUGAAAACGCCUUAGAUGAACUACUAAAUAGAGGUCUUUCCCCGAAUUGAACUCAUAGAGAUGGCUAACAAAGGGUAUUGAUGUUAAUAUCAUUAGAAUGGAAUGGAGGGGAGGUGCUCUAACCACUAGAAUGAGAAUGGAGUCCUACUUUCCCUCGGCACCAAGCUACGAAGCCAAUUGAUCUAUCUUGGGAUGUUUUCCCGUAGAUGAAGAAUAGGAUGGAUCGGUCUAUCCCUACUUACUCAUUCUUUUUUGUUUGAAAUGAGCCUGCGACAUGCCUUCCACGUGCUAUACCCACUUGAUUGAAUGACUUUGCCC